rnacentral:rRNA from 1 species
UACGUAGGGUGCAAGCGUUAAUCGGAAUUACUGGGCGUAAGCGUGCGCAGGCGGUGAUGUAAGACAGUUGUGAAAUCCCCGGGCUCAACCUGGGAACUGCAUCUGUGACUGCAUCGCUGGAGUGCGGCAGAGGGGAUGGAAUUCCGCGUGUAGCAGUGAAAUGCGUAGAUAUGCGGAGGAACACCGAUGGCGAAGGCAAUCCCCUGGCCUGCACUGACGCUCAUGCAC